rnacentral:rRNA from 1 species
CCCUUAGAUGUUCUGGGCUGCACGCGCGCUACACUGAUGCACUCAACGAGUUUACAACCUUAUCCGGAAGGAUUGGGUAAUCUUUUGAACGUGCAUCGUGAUGGGGAUAGAUUAUUGCAAUUAUUAAUCUUCAACGAGGAAUUCCUAGUAAGCGCAAGUCAUCAGCUUGCGCUGAUUACGUCCCUGCCCUUUGUACACACCGCCCGUCGCUACUACCGAUUGAACGUUUUAGUGAGGUAUUUGGACUGGACCUUCGGAGGUUCGCGCCUCCGUUGCUGUUCGGGAAGACUCCCAAACUUGAGCGUUUAGAGGAAGUAAAAGUCGUAACA